rnacentral:tRNA from 4 species
GCCAAGGUGGCGGAGCGGCAGACGCGGCUGACUGCAGAUCAGCUUUAUCCCGGUUCAAUUCCGGGCCUUGGCU